rnacentral:rRNA from 1 species
UACAGAGGGUGCGAGCGUUAAUCGGAUUUACUGGGCGUAAAGGGUGCGUAGGCGGUUAUGUGAGUGUGAUGUGAAAGCCCCGGGCUUAACCUGGGAAGAGCAUUGCAAACGAUAUGACUGGAGUAGUUGAGAGGGUGAUGGAAUUUCCGGUGUAGCGGUGAAAUGCGUAGAGAUGUGGAGGAAUACCGAUGGCGAAGGCAGCCCCCUGGGCCAAUACUGACGCUCAUGCACGAAAGCGUGGGGAGCAAACAGG